rnacentral:rRNA from 1 species
CAGCCGCCACGGUAAUACGAGGGGUGCAAGCGUUAUUCGGAUUGAUUGGGUGUAAAGGGUGUGCAGACGGCUUAUUAAGUCACUUGUUAAAUUCUUCGGCCUAACUGAAGGUCUGCAAGUGAUACUGAUGAGCUAGAGGGUGGAAGAGAGAAGUGGAAUUCUCGGAGUAGCGGUAAAAUGCGUAGAUCUCGAGAGGAACACCAAUGGCGAAGGCAGCUUCUUGGUCCAUUCCUGACGUUCAUACACGAAAGCGUGGGGAGCAAACAGGAUUAGAUACCCGCGUAGUCCCUGUCUCUUAACA